GACGAACGCUGGCGGCGUGCUUAACACAUGCAAGUCGAACGGAAAGGCCCUGCUUUUGUGGGGUGCUCGAGUGGCGAACGGGUGAGUAACACGUGAGUAACCUGCCCUUGACUUUGGGAUAACUUCAGGAAACUGUGGCUAAUACCGGAUAGGAGCCCCUGCUGCAUGGUGGGGGUUGGAAAGUUUCGGCGGUUGGGGAUGGACUCGUGGCUUAUCAGCUUAUUGGUGGGGUAGUGGCUUACCAAGGCUUUGACGAGUAGCCGGGCUGAGAGGAGGACCAGACACAUUGGGCGCAGUAUUGGGGCCAGCCUCCUGCGGAAGGCAGAAGUGAGGAAUUUUGCGAAAUGGGCGGAAGCCUGAUGCAGCAACGCCGCGUGGGGGAUGACGGCCUUCUGGUGGUAAACCGCUUUCUGCUAUGACGAAGCGUGUGUGACGGUAAUGGGUAAAGAAGCACCGGCUAACUACGUG
rnacentral:rRNA from 1 species